rnacentral:rRNA from 1 species
GCAAGUCGAACGCGAACGUACCUUCGGGUGCUAUUAGAGUGGCGGACGGGUGAGUAAUGCUUGGGAAUCUGCCUAGUAGUGGGGGAUAACGUGUGGAAACGCACGCUAAUACCGCAUACGCCCUACGGGGGAAAGAUUUAUCGCUAUUAGAUGAGCCCAAGUCAGAUUAGCUAGUUGGUAGGGUAAGAGCCUACCAAGGCAACGAUCUGUAGCUGGAUUGAGAGAUCGAAC